UCCUACGGGAGGCAGCAGUAGGGAAUCUUCCGCAAUGGACGAAAGUCUGACGGAGCAACGCCGCGUGAGUGAUGAAGGCUUUCGGGUCGUAAAACUCUGUUGUUAGGGAAGAACAAGUGCUAGUUGAAUAAGCUGGCACCUUGACGGUACCUAACCAGAAAGCCACGGCUAACUACGUGCCAGCAGCCGCGGUAAUACGUAGGUGGCAAGCGUUAUCCGGAAUUAUUGGGCGUAAAGCGCGCGCAGGUGGUUUCUUAAGUCUGAUGUGAAAGCCCACGGCUCAACCGUGGAGGGUCAUUGGAAACUGGGAGACUUGAGUGCAGAAGAGGAAAGUGGAAUUCCAUGUGUAGCGGUGAAAUGCGUAGAGAUAUGGAGGAACACCAGUGGCGAAGGCGACUUUCUGGUCUGUAACUGACACUGAGGCGCGAAAGCGUGGGGAGCAAACAGGAUUAGAUACCCUGGUAGUCCACGCCGUAAACGAUGAGUGCUAAGUGUUAGAGGGUUUCCGCCCUUUAGUGCUGAAGUUAACGCAUUAAGCACUCCGCCUGGGGAGUACGGCCGCAAGGCUGAAACUCAAAUGAAUUGACGGAG
rnacentral:rRNA from 1 species